rnacentral:tRNA from 2 species
GCCGGGAUGGCGGAAUUGGCAGACGCGUUGGACUUAGGAUCCAAUGCCCAAAAGGCGUGCAGGUUCAAAUCCUGUUCCCGGCACCA